GAUGAACGUUGGCGGUGUGCCUAAUACAUGCAAGUCGAACGGAGAUAAUAGCAAUAUUGUCUUAGUGGCGAACGGGUGAGUAACGCGUUGGUGAUCUGCCCCGAAGUGAGGAAUAGCAGUUCGAAAGAAUUGCUAAUACCCCAUGUGAUCUUAGAGAUUAGACGCUCUUUGAUUAAAGAAUUUAUUCGCUUCGGGAGGAGCCUGCGUCCCAUCAGCUAGUUGGUAAGGUAACGGCUUACCAAGGCGAUGACGGGUAGGGGACCUGAGAGGGUGGCCCCCCACAAUGGAACUGAAACACGGUCCAUACACCUACGGGUGGCAGCAGUAGGGAAUAUUAGUAAUGGGCGAAAGCCUGAUCUAGCAACACCGCGUGUGCGAUGAAGGCCUUCGGGUCGUAAAGCACUUUUUGGAGGAAUAGGAAGGAAGGUACCUCCAGAAUAAGUCUCGGCUAACUACGUGCCAGCAGCCGCGGUAAAACUGUAGUCGU
rnacentral:rRNA from 1 species